rnacentral:lncRNA from 1 species
CUUACUCAGGGGAGGAGACAAUGAAGGGAGUGGUCUAAAAUAAAAACCAAAUCCAGUUAAUAUCACCUUACCAUCUUUCAUUCUUUAUUCCUGGUGGUUGCUAAAAUUAAUUUCAGUUUUCCUUAUUUUGCUGGAAGAAGUACCCUUUGCCUACCUGUACCCUAGCUCUUACCAUCGGCACAGGUUUCCUAGCAACUGGGCUGAUGAUUGCAGUCAAUUUCUCUCUUUCUUUUUGGUAUUCUGUAUAUACUAUGCUAUUUUUAAGCACCCAAAAUACUGUUUUUUUUUUUUAAUGUAGUGGUGUUAUUUUGGUAUUUUAAAAAGUCUAAAAGCUGAGUCAUUUACAUCUUGAGAUCAUCCUUGAGAGCUUUCUGCUGCAUUAAAAAUUCGGAUUGAACAAAUGACUACCUGUUUGGAAAACAGCUUUCCCACCUUCAUUAUCCCAAAGAGAAGGGAAAAAAUCAUACUUGGCAAUGCAGAGCUUGUGUUGCAAACAUAAUCCUAAUAAAAAUUCUCUGUGACCUGGGAUGUGAACAUGACGGCUUUGAGCUGGAUACAGGUAACUCUGCGACCGGCAGGCACCUCCGCAGCUCUGUGUGGGGAAAUGAAGACCCGGUAGAACAAGUGACAAUCACCUUCGAACGAAACUCCAUGAAUUAUCACAACCUCCGUGAAGAAACAGGGUGUUCCCCAACGUCUCACAGUUAUGGGAAUGUGGGGGUGUCAGAGGAAAGCAUGUGGGUUGGCUCACAAUAAUCCUCUGUGUUCCCCUAAUGUGGGGACACAGAGCCCCAACAGCUGGAAAAAAGUGCACAGCGUGACAUUUGGCACCCAUCGGUGACCUCAGUGCACACUGAUUUGCAAUGAUUGCAUGUAAAUAAACAAUAUUUUACUUAAUUGUUCCUUUGUCACUUAAAUUUUUUCUUGAAUUGGUCAUUUUUCUGAUGUUUCAUUCAUUUUAUCUGCUGCUGAUGUGAAUUAAAUGUCUCCUAUUAUUGCUUAUAUUCUAAAUAAAUGGUGGUGCUUAAUAGUUUGUAAUGUUUACAAGUCUGUGAUUCAACUAUGUUGAAUGUUUCUUUUUGAUGAUUUUAAGCGACUUGAUGAAUCCAGUACACUUUUUGAUACGAUCCCAGUGUUCGACACCGACUUGCUGAGGCUGUCAUUUUCCUCGGGAACAACACCCCGCAGGA